rnacentral:rRNA from 1 species
UGGCGGACGGGUGAGUAACGCGUGGGCAACCUGCCUUACACAGGGGGAUAACACUUAGAAAUAGGUGCUAAAACCGCAUAAGCGCACAGCCUCGCAUGAAGCGGUGUGAAAAACUCCGGUGGUGUAAGAUGGACCCGCGUCUGAUUAGCUUGUUGGCGGGGUAACGGCCCACCAAGGCGACGAUCAGUAGCCGGCCUGAGAGGGCGGACGGCCACAUUGGGACUGAGACACGGCCCAGACUCCUACGGGAGGCAGCAG